CCUACGGGUGGCAGCAGUGGGGAAUAUUGCACAAUGGGGGAAACCCUGAUGCAGCGACGCCGCGUGAGUGAAGAAGUAAUUCGUUAUGUAAAGCUCUAUCAGCAGGGAAGAAAAUGACGGUACCUGAGUAAGAAGCCCCGGCUAACUACGUGCCAGCAGCCGCGGUAAUACGUAGGGGGCAAGCGUUAUCCGGAUUUACUGGGUGUAAAGGGAGCGUAGGCGGGCUGUUAAGUCAGCGGUCAAAUGUCGGGGCUCAACCCCGUCCUGCCGUUGAAACUGGCGGCCUCGAGUGGGCGAGAGGUAGGCGGAAGGCGUGGUGUAGCGGUAAAAUGCAUAGAUAUAACGCAGAACUCCGAUUGCGAAGGCGGCAUACCGGCUCCCUACUGACGCUGAGGCACGAAAGCGUGGGUAUCGAACAGGAUUAGAUACCCCAGUAGUC
rnacentral:rRNA from 1 species